rnacentral:rRNA from 1 species
GGUGAACGCUGGCGGUAGGCCUAACACAUGCAAGUCGAACGGCAGCACAGUAAGAGCCUGCUCUUACGGGUGGCGAGUGGCGGACGGGUGAGGAAUACAUCGGAAUCUACUUUUUCGUGGGGGAUAACGUAGGGAAACUUACGCUAAUACCGCAUACGACCUACGGGUGAAAGCAGGGGAUCUUCGGACCUUGCGCGAUUGAAUGAGCCGAUGUCGGAUUAGCUAGUUGGCGGGGUAAAGGCCCACCAAGGCGACGAUCCGUAGCUGGUCUGAGAGGAUGAUCAGCCACACUGGAACUGAGACACGGUCCAGACUCCUACGGGAGGCAGCAGUGGGGAAUAUUGGACAAUGGGCGCAAGCCUGAUCCAGCCAUACCGCGUGGGUGAAGAAGGCCUUCGGGUUGUAAAGCCCUUUUGUUGGGAAAGAAAAGCAGCAGGUUAAUACCCCGCUGUUCUGACGGUACCCAAAGAAUAAGCACCGGCUAACUUCGUG